GGAUGAUCCGUCACACUGGCACUGAAACACGGGCCAGACUCCUACGGGAGGCAGCAGUGGGGAAUAUUGCGCAAUGGGGGGAACCCUGACGCAGCGACGCCGCGUGGGUGAGGAAGGCUUUCGGGUCGUAAAACCCUGUCAGAAGGGAAGAAGUGCUUGCAGGCUAAUACCUUGUAAGUUUGACGGUACCUUCAAAGGAAGCACCGGCUAACUCCGUGCCAGCAGCCGCGGUAAUACGGAGGGUGCAAGCGUUGUUCGGAAUCACUGGGCGUAAAGGGCGCGUAGGCGGCUUGGCAAGUCAGAUGUGAAAGCCCACGGCUUAACCGUGGAAGUGCAUUUGAAACUGCUUGGCUUGAGUAUCAGAGGGGAAAGUGGAAUUCCCGGUGUAGAGGUGAAAUUCGUAGAUAUCGGGAGGAAUACCGGUGGCGAAGGCGACUUUCUGGCUGAAUACUGACGCUGAGGCGCGAAAGCGUGGGGAGCAAACAGGAUUAGAUACCCUGGUAGUCCACGCCGUAAACGAUGUCAACUGGGUGCAGGGGGUGUUGAUCCCCUCUGUGUCGCAGCUAACGCAUUAAGUUGACCGCCUGGGGAGUACGGUCGCAAGAUUAAAACUCAAAGGAAUUGACGGGGGCCCGCACAAGCGGUGGAGUAUGUGGUUUAAUUCGAUGCAACGCGAAGAACCUUACCUGGUCUUGACAUCCCGAAGAUCUCCUGGAAACAGGAGAGUGCUCUCUUUGAGAGAAUUUGGUGACAGGUGCUGCAUGGCUGUCGUCAGCUCGUGUCGUAAGAUGUUGGGUUAAGUCCCGCAACGAGCGCAACCCUCGCCAUUAGUUGCCAGCAUUAAGUUGGGCACUCUAAUGGGACUGCCGGUGUCAAACCGGAGGAAGGCGGGGAUGACGUCAAGUCCUCAUGGCCUUUAUGACCAGGGCUACACACGUACUACAAUGGCCGGUACAACGGGCUGCCACUUCGCGAGAAGGCGCAAAUCCCUAAAAGCCGGUCUCAGUCCGGAUUGGAGUCUGCAACUCGACUCCAUGAAGUUGGAAUCGCUAGUAAUCGUGGAUCAGCAUGCCACGGUGAAUACGUUCCCGGGCCUUGUACACACCGCCCGUCACACCACGGGAGUUGGUUGUACCAGAAGCGGUUGAGCUAACCUCCGGGAGGCAGGCUGCCAAGGUAUGGCUGGUAACUGGGGUGAAGUCGUAACAAGGUA
rnacentral:rRNA from 1 species